rnacentral:rRNA from 1 species
AGAGUUUGAUCAUGGCUCAGAAUGAACGCUGGCGGCGUGCUUAACACAUGCAAGUCGCACGAGAACGCUUCAGCUUGCUGGAGCUAGUAAAGUGGCGCACGGGUGAGUAACGCGUGGGUAAUCUACCUCCGAAUUGGGGAUAACACUGCGAAAGCGGUGCUAAUACCGAAUGACAUCCCAGGGACCUUGGUUUCGGGGAUCAAAGGUGGCCUCUACAUGUAAGCUACUGUUUGGAGAUGAGCCCGCGUACCAUUAGCUAGUUGGUAGGGUAAUGGCCUACCAAGGCUGCGAUGGUUAGCUGGUCUGAGAGGAUGAUCAGCCACACUGGAACUGACACACGGUCCAGACUCCUACGGGAGGCAGCAGUGAGGAAUUUUGCGCAAUGGGGGAAACCCUGACGCAGCAACGCCGCGUGAGUGAUGAAGGCUUUCGGGUCGUAAAGCUCUGUCAAGUGGGAAGAAUAUGCCCUGUGAUAAUACCAUGGGGCACUGACGGUACCACUGAAGGAAGCACCGGCUAACUCCGUGCCAGCAGCCGCGGUAAUACGGGGGGUGCAAGCGUUAUUCGGAAUCAUUGGGCGUAAGGGGCGCGUAGGCGGCCCCUUAAGUCAGAUGUGAAAGCCCUCAGCUUAACUGAGGAAGUGCAUUUGAAACUAAGGGGCUUGAGUAUGGGAGAGGGAAGCGGAAUUCCUGGUGUA